rnacentral:lncRNA from 1 species
AGAAAAACCCAUGAAGGGGACAUUAGUAUGUUGCAGAUGAAGACACUGAGGCUUGGAGAACUUAAAUUGCCCAAAGAGCUUCUCACACCUGGUUGAAGGUCACAUAACCUUAGCAUGCCCAGAUAAACCAAGUAUGCAACCACACGGGGAACCUAAGUGCUCAGACCAAGGAGCAGGAACUGAAUUAAGACACGGACACCACAUGGCAGAAUCCAAGAUCCAAUCAGAUCGAGCUCUGGAAUCACCCCCAUGGUGGAAGCCAGUCAGAUCAUUCCUCUUGGCAUCACCUCAUUGCAAGAUCCAAUCAGAUCACGUCUCAUUACCCUAUCCUUAUAAAACCAGACAGACCUCAGCUCAGGAAGGCACUGCUUUGGGAGCUAUCACCCCUGUUUUCCUUAUUUACUGCAAGUAAUAAAAU